rnacentral:rRNA from 1 species
AUAUUGGACAAUGGGCGAAAGCCUGAUCCAGCAAUGCCGCGUGAGUGAUGAAGGCCUUCGGGUUGUAAACCGCUUUCAGUGGGGACGAAUCAAGACGGUACCCACAGAAGAAGCCCCGGCCAACUACGUGCCAGCAGCCGCGGUAACACGUAGGGGGCGAGCGUUGUCCGGAUUCAUUGGGCGUAAAGAGCUCGUAGGCGGCUCAGUAAGUCGGGUGUGAAAACUUCAGGCUCAACCUGGAGACGCCACCCGAUACUGCUGUGGCUAGAGUCCAGUAGGGGAGCGUGGAAUUCCUGGUGUAGCGGUGAAAUGCGCAGAUAUCAGGAGGAACACCAGUGGCGAAGGCGGCGCUCUGGGCUGGAACUGACGCUGAGGAGCGAAAGCGUGGGGAGCGAACAGG